UUUGAUGGACACUGGUCUUCUAACCCAGGGUAUCAAGGAGCUGAGGAAUGAAUGGCAAAUUAUAGUAGGAAGCUGGGCUUCUAUUGAGACAAAGCAAGUUCAGUGCCUAAAUUUCAAAUGUAAAGAACCGCAUUCUGAGGGUCAGUCCAGGGAAGGACGUCCUUACGUUCUGUAUCAGGGGUCCUACUUGCCUACCCUCGGUCUGGUGCUGCUUCUCUCUGCAGGCUGGCCAUUGCAAGGUUUUCUGAGCAUGUUUGCCUGAGUCUGCAUUGCCUAGACACUGUUAUGCUUGGUAUUUUUUCUUCCUAGGGCAUGACGCCACCAUGCAAUGACAGCCUCAGGGCGUGUGAGAGUUCUGUAGAUCACUAGGCUAAAAAUAACCAGAGCAUUGGUUCCAGUGGGGCUCAGAACACAAACACCCCACAUAACAUCAGGAAGCCACUUAGCUUGGGGCGUAAUGUUAGAAUGUCAUUACUCUCGCUCAAUACUGUGUGCACAGUGAGGUGUUUCCACCUGAAAGCCCGGCAAACCUGUGAAUACACACAGGAUUGUGAAGGGCACAGGCAUAAGGAAAGAAUGAAGGGCCAGGCCUUCCUCUCCUCUUGUGACCGUUCCUCCUUCUGUCUUCAGAGUAUGAGCUAGCAGGGCAGCUUGCAGAGUUAAUUAGGAACUUCAGUAUGGCUACACUGUAAUCACUGCCUUGUAAAACAUCCUGCUCUUUUCAACAUUUUUGCUAGCAUUUUUCAUGCACAUGGAUAUUACCUAUCAGGGAGGUAAUUUAAAAGCUGCCAUAUCCUCCCAAGUUUGUACAGAGCAGGGCUGAAUAAAUAAGUCAUUUCGUGCUGCUGUGGAUCUUUGUUCUGUCGGACUAGACCUUGUAACAUGUCAUGGGCUCUGAGUUGCCCAUGGUUCAUUGUCAAGGGGCUCUUCACAAAUCCUUUGUGAGGCUGUUAAAUCACUGCUCAAGAGAGUAGCAAGCGCAAUAGCUUCACUGUCCAGACCAUUUAAAUGCUACUUUGUUGAAUUUUCUACAUGUUUAUUAAUGCUGAAAGGAAGGUCUCCUGACAGCUGCUUCCUGCUGAUUUUUCCUGUCUAACCUGUACAAUUAGGUUCUGGAGCCCCCUCAAUCAGGCUGGCUAGGAGUGGAGAGAGGCCAGGCUUUUGGGGGUAAUGGCUAAUGAAUCCCAGUCGUGAUAACAGUGAGUAACUGGUGGUGGUGGAUUCUCGCCUGCUUUUUCUCAUCGAGUUCUGCCUCCCCCGGCCCCGCCCCACUCUGUUUGGAACUGUGUUCACUUCUGACAGGGACCUGCGAUUCCCUUCAUCUCUGGGAGGUGGGUUGCAGUCCUUCAUGAUCAGUAACAAUCUCACAUGUUUUCUCUUUGUCUGUCAGCAGAAUUUGAUCUGUCUGUCUAGGUCUUCUAUGCUCCGCUCCUCCAGCUGAGCAAAGCGAGGACAGUCGAAGUAGAGACUCCUUCCACCAGUAACAGCCUAUCAAGUCAGUGCUUCCCGCGCCUCCACAUGCACGAAAAUCCCCCGGACAGCUGUAAAAGUGUGCAGACUUUGACUUAGCCUGUCUGGAGGUCUUGUCCGAGACCUUGGAUUGCUAAUAAUCUCUCUAGUAUAGCUCUGAGAAGCGAGGCCAAUAGACUUAACUUUGUGAGGCAAAAAGAACUAGUCAUCUUUGAACUCCCAGCCUAACAAGGUACUUGAUAUACAAGCUCCGUCUACAGGAGAGUUCCAGGCCCUCCAAGGCCACAGAGCAAGAACCUGUCUCUAAACAAACAAACCAAACAACAACAACAACAACAAAACAACCAACCAACCACCACCACCACAAAGCCCCAAACCCCAAAAAGGUAUUUGUCACAGGAAUCCACAACAAUCUGGUGAUGAAAACCUUCAGCAAUUGCUAGAGACCUGCUAUUCCUGAACUUUGGGACUUUUAAUUCCCUGCACAUCCAUUAAUGUCCAGAGCCAAGGGAUCAAAACAGGGAUGAGACCCCCCACUUUUGCAAACUGAGUGGAUCUGUUGCUGAUUUGUGAGUCUAGAUGACAUUCUCUGUCCAGUCUGAUCCGAAGUUACUCCAACUUUUAUGUAGGUCAAAAGGUUCUCCCUACAAUGCCUACAAGAAAGACCUCAGGCAGGAUGAGAGUAUAGAAUCCUCAGUUUUCAGUAUGAGUUCAGGUGAUCCAAUGGGCUCCACCUAUACCUACAUCAGGGAGCACUAGGCAUUCACUUCAUAACUGCUUUGCCUUCCUGUCUGAUUAUGUAAGCUACCUAUAAACACUUUCCCGUGUCUUUGGCCAUCCUUCAGAAGUAUAAGUAAAAGCAAAUGCAAAUUGGGUGUCACCACA